AGCGCAGGCGGUUUGAUAAGUCUGAAGUUAAAGGCUGUGGCUCAACCAUAGUUCGCUUUGGAAACUGUCAAACUUGAGUGCAGAAGGGGAGAGUGGAAUUCCAUGUGUAGCGGUGAAAUGCGUAGAUAUAUGGAGGAACACCGGUGGCGAAAGCGGCUCUCUGGUCUGUAACUGACGCUGAGGCUCGAAAGCGUGGGGAGCGAACA
rnacentral:rRNA from 1 species